AUUUUUUUAUACAAAACUUUAAAAUUUGCAUCACCUGGCUUUCCUAACAAUGAUUGUGAAUAAGCCUUAACCCUAACAGGCUAUUUAAGGUCUGAGACCUCGGUCAACGUUAUCUGAGCACUCAAAUCUCCUUGGGUUCCCAUAUGUUUGCAAGGU